UGCCAGCAGCCGCGGUAAUACGGAGGGUGCGAACGUUAAUCGGAAUUACUGGGCGUAAAGCGCGCGUAGGCGGCUUGUUAAGUCAGAUGUGAAAGCCCCGGGCUCAACCUGGGAAUUGCAUUUGAAACUGGCAGGCUAGAGUGCAGUAGAGGAAGGUGGAAUUCAGGGUGUAGCGGUGAAAUGCGUAGAUAUCCUGAGGAACACCGGUGGCGAAGGCGGCUAUCUGGACCAAUACUGACGCUGAGGUGCGAAAGCGUGGGGAGCAAACCGGAUUAGCUA
rnacentral:rRNA from 1 species